GAAUACAAGCUCAUCCGAUAUCCGUACACCAUCAGGGUACGAGCUAGCCCAUGGCGUACACCAUCAGGGUACGACUAGUAGAUCUCGUACACCAUCAGGGUACGGAAUUCUCUAGAGUCGAGGAGGACAUCUCAGCAAAAGAGAAGCUGCUGCGGGCGUCGGAGGACGAGCGGGACCGGGUGCUGGAGGAGCUGCACAAGGCAGAGGACAGCCUGCUGGCUGCCGACGAGACCGCCGCCAAGGUAUGUAUCAAGCUUACAAGACAGCUUCUUAUGUAUUUACUGACCUGUGUUUUUUUGCUACUUUUUUUCUUUUCUCCCCUUCCCCUUUCCCUAUUUUUUUUCUUGCCCUGAUCCGGAAUUUGGAUCC
rnacentral:misc_RNA from 1 species